UCUGUUAGUUUGCUUGGUCAGCCAGGCCCAUCGGUGCCUGGCAUCGGGGUCAUUUACAUCUCUUUGGAAAGUGUUUGAAAUCAGAUGGGGAGAUGAUAGUGGGGGACUGGUUAGAAUC